rnacentral:lncRNA from 1 species
GGUAUCCAUACCCCGUCCGGUAUGAGAGACCACGUUCCCGGUAGGGUUCCCUACGGACCCUGUCCGUCCACCAUCUCCCAGGAUAUCUAGUCAGGCUGUCCACAUUAUCCAUUUAUCAAUUCACAUAACAUUUUUGUCUUUUUUCUUGAUCUCAAUCAUCCAAUCAUACACAACAUGUAAACCAAUAAUUGACACCAAACAAGACGACACAGUAUCGGGUUCACCAUAAUACAAACCAAAAUAAAAGAAACCAUGAUUCAUGCAUACGAGACCAUAACAUAAUUACAUCAAACAUCAUACUGCAUUUAAUACUGAAAAUUAGAUCAAACAGCAACUGACCAACAAUGUAUUAGACUCGGGCUCAAUUGACAACCUUAAUCAAUUAUACAUCUAUAAAGUCACAAAAUACAGUUUAAUUAUUUAUUUAGCUUUAAUACCGU